CACUGGUUCUGCGUUAUGGAAACCAGUCCCUGGUGCCCGAAAGGUUGGCGACAGCUGCUUUGACAAAUGAGAGGAGGAGGAGUCUCUUCCGUUAAUCUUCAACAGGGAGAAUUAAGGAGCCCACACCUCCUCCUCCCCCACUGCUGGAUGUCUACCCAAAGGAAAUGAAGUCAUUCUAUCGAGAAGACAGCUGCACUCGAACGUUUAUCUCAACACAAUUCACGAUUGCAAAGGUGCGGAAUCCACCUCAGUGCCCUUCAGUUCAUGAGGGGAUAAAGAAAAUGUGGUAUGUAUACCCCAUGGAGUCCUACGCAGCCAUCAAAAGGAAUGACAUAAUGUCAUUUGCAGCAACUUCUAUGGAACUGGAGACCAUUAUCCUAAGUGAAGUGUCUCGGGAAUGGAAAGGCAAACACCACAGGUUCUCACUAAGAAGUGGGCGCUGACAGAUGGGUACGUGCGCGGGCACAAAGCCAUAUAAAGGCCUUGAGACACCAGGAAGGGGGGAGGGCCGGAGGGUGGGUGUGGGAUAGAAACUUACCCAGAGUGAACACUAUUCUGGUGAUGGGCCCACCAAAGGCCCUGGCUUGAGCAUUGUACAACAUAUCCACGUAACAAUAAGACUU